GAUGAACGCUGGCGGCGUGCUUAACACAUGCAAGUCGAACGGAAAGGCGCCUGCUUGCCUGGGUACUCGAGUGGCGAACGGGUGAGUAACACGUGGGUGAUCUGCCCUGCACUUCGGGAUAAGCCUGGGAAACUGGGUCUAAUACCGGAUAGGACGAUGGUUUGGAUGGUGUUGUGGAAAGUUUUUUCGGUGUGGGUUGAGCGGGCGGCCUACCGGCUUGUUGGUGGGGUAAUGGCAUAUAAAGGCGUCGCCGGGUAGCGGGCCUGAGAGGGUGUACGGCCCCAUUGGACCUGGGGAAGGACCCGGAGUCCACCGGGGGCAAGCGGGGGGAAAAAUUGACAAAUGGGCGGAGGCCGAGUCCAGGGCCGCCGGGUGGGGAAGACCGGCUGUCGGUUUGUAACGGCCUUUCGCAUGGACCGAACCUCAUGUGACGGUACCUGGAGAAGAAGCACCGGCUAACUACGUG
rnacentral:rRNA from 1 species